rnacentral:rRNA from 1 species
AUGGGUACUGGACGGAAGGCAGAGACCUACAAUGCCCCAGCACCAAAACAAGAUCGAAGCAAUACUCGGUGGUAUGGUGACCAAUCUUUUCCUGCACGUAAUCUUGGGGAAGAUGCGCUAGCAGGAGUUAUUUUCGGCUGCACCAACAAAACAAUGAAUGAAUGCCUCUCUAAACAGCUAUUUGGUUUGCCUGCAUGCCAUUUCUCCUAUGUGAAGAAUAUUAAACCUGGACUGCCUCUGUUUCUGUUCAAUUAUAGUGACAGAAAACUGCAUGGCAUUUUCGAAGCUGCCACUCCUGGCCAGCUUACCAUUGACCAAUUUGCUUGGAGUCAUGAUGGUAGAACAAAGACACAGUAUCCCGCACAGGUUCGGGUCUCUAUCAAAACUCAGUGCCUACCACUUCCAGAGAACAUAUACAAAGGCGUGAUUAGUGGCAAUUAUCACAAGUUUCGCCACUUCCACUUUGAGCUAGACCAUGCACAAACAAGAGACUUAGUUUCUUUGUUUGUACCUGCUCCUGUUGGUGCUGUUCCAAACGAGCGGAAUUUUUCGGUACCUCGUGCUCCUGUUGACGCUGCUCCAAACAGAUGCAGUCUUUCUGGACCUCUGCCAUCUCCAACAGGAGCACAGCUUGUUCGUGGCGUAGUGUCGACUGAGUCUGGUUCAACGGAUGGUGAACUGUUUGCCGGUUCAGCAUAUUCAGUUGAUAGAAAUGCUGACCAUGCCAGUGCAAGUAGAACAUCAAAGAGCAACUUUGAUGAAGAGCCUUCUGAGUGGGAUGAUUUGGAUGAUGGUGUGACUGAGAAAGGAACAAAGUCUGUGAAUGAUGGCCAUCCACAUAUCAAUCCAUUGAAUGGUCAACAGCAUGACCCAAUGGAUGUUUUGCAGAAGUUGCAAGAACUGUCUCUUUUACGGCAGGAGAAGGCCCAACCCUCGGAGGUUGCUGUUGAUUAUACUUCAGGUAGAAGCAGACUUCAAGAAUCACCACUGGGUGCUGCUUUUGGCAAAGAUCCAUCAAACGCCACCUUGGGCGGUGAUGCACCUGUGAAAGACAGCACAUCCUUUGAGCAACUUUGUGGAAAUGAUGAGCUGCUUCAGAUCAUCAAUGAAUUAUCCAAGAAGACCGAAGCAAUUGGGAAAAAGCAGACCGAGUCAGAUGAAGAAAUACUUGUAUUGAGGGCAACUGUAAAGGACAUGGAAAGAAAAAUUCAGGAACUGCAGUACCAAUAUGGGAAAUUACAGUUGGAGUAUUCAGCAGCACUUCUUGGUGAACCACGCAAUAUUCUGGAAGGGCCAUCAAUUUUCCUAAUAGGUGGCCAUAAUGGCAUCACCUGGUUGCCAUCCCUCGAUUCCUUUUACCCUACAGCAGAUAGACUAGUGCCGCUGAGGCCAAUGAGCUCAGCCCGUUCAUAUGCUGCUGUUGCUGCAUUGAAUGAUCAUCUCUUUGUUAUUGGUGGCGGCGAUGGCGAUUCAUGGUAUACCACAGUGGAAUGCUACAACAGGGUGAGCAAUGAGUGGAUGGCAUGCCCAUGCUUGAAACAGAAGAAAGGAAGUCUUGCUGGAGCUACAUUGAAUGGUAAAAUAUUUGCUAUUGGUGGGGGCGAUGAGUCGAGAUCUUUUUCAGAAGUUGAGAUGUUUGAUCCAGUACUUGGGAGUUGGAUAUACAGCCCGUCUAUGCAACAAUGUCGAUUUGCUCCUGCUGCAGCCGAAUUAAAUGGCAUCCUCUAUGUUGUUGGUGGUUAUGAUUUCAGUGACGACUCAUACUUACAAUCAGCAGAAAGGUAUGAUCCAAGGGAAGGUUUCUGGACCCAGCUUGCAAGCAUGAAGACAAAAAGAGGAUCCCANNNNNNNNNNNNNNNNNNNNNNNNNNNAUAUGCUCUGGGAGGGUACGAUGGAGACCAAAUGCUUUCCACUGUGGAGAUCUUUGACCCUCGUGCCAAUUCGUGGAGGAUAGGCAGCCCGUUCAGCGUCCCAAGAGGAUAUGGGUGUGCAGUCACAGCGGACGACAAUGUGUACCUCAUUGGCGGGUCCGAAUCCAAUGGAGAAACUAUUGAAACUGUGGAAGUUUACAAUGAGAGGCAAGGCUGGUCUAUCCCUGGCUACAAGGCGAUAGGGAAGAGGGCCUUCGCCUCUGCCAUCGUCGUUUGA